UUAUCUUUAGUUUGAUAAUAAAAAAACAAAGAAGUUAUUCAUUGACAUGACAAAAAAUAAAAAAUUAUAAAAAUAUAUCAUAAUAAUCCACUGUUUGAUGAGGGAGGAGAAUAGAAAGAUAUUAUGAAUUAUGAGUACAUUUUGUUUAAAUAUUAAACUAUGGCACAAAAAGUGUAUUUGUGGAAAGGCACAGAAAAAGUGGAUUUAACGUUUGGCGAUGAACCUAAUGGUAUUAUUAAAAAAUUAGUUAAUAUUGAUAAUCGUAUUUUCAUAUCAACGACGACUAACAAUCUCUAUUAUGGUGAAGUAAAUGUUGAGAAAAACCAAUCAUUAUCCGUAAUACUCAAACGAAUUGAUUUUUGUGCCAUUGAUAUUGCGUCGAAUUCGAAGUAUUUAUUUGUUGUUAAUAAUCAUGGUCAUGUAUUAACGGUAGAUCCAAAUAAUUUUCAAGUUAUUGAUAAAAUUAUUAUAAAAGACGAUGUAAAAGUUUGCAGUCAUGGGUACAAGCAAGAAAACGAAACAAUUAGAAUAAAAAAUAUAGCAGUAAGUGACACUGCAAAAUUAUUCGUUAGUGAAAGCGGUCAAUUAUGGGGAAGUGGAGAUCAACCUCAAAUUGAUAUAAAAACUCAAACACCAAAAAAAAUAAUAUUUUUCGAAGAUCGUACAGUAUCUUUGAUAGCAUGCGGUAUAAAUUUCAAUGUCGUGGUAGCUCGAAAAAUUCCAAAAACUACAAAAGACGAUACAGAUAGUGAAAACGACAUUGAUGAAGUAUUUGUUAAUUCUUGUCCACAAUGUUUAAAUAACAUAACAACUCCUCAAAGUUUGACAUCAUCAGAUACUUGCCCAAAUGGUCUUCUUCCUCAAGCAUUCAGCGAAGACCAUUCAAUGAAUUCAGUAAGUCCUAUAUCAUUUAGCGGAAAGAUUGGUCAUCAUUUAACUUCAAAUACAGCAAUUAGCAAUAAUUGUUCUAAGCUUGAUAAUGAUACAGAAACAAUUGAUAAUAAUGAGAAAGAAAAAAAAAAUCCAAUUUUUAUCAAUACAGAAGCGGCGAGACAAUUUUUAACACGACAAUUAUCUUGGGUUUCGUCUUAUAGCAACGGUAAAGAUGAUAGUAAUGAGCACAUAUCUAAUCCCACGGGGCUAAUAAAACAAAAUGUAUCUAAUAUGGCUAAUUUAGUGUAUGAAGGAGUUAAAACAAUGGGAGAUAAAGUUGUAACAUUAUCACGACAUGUAAGUGGAAGCUCAGACAUAAAUAUAAAUGAUUUACAUGAUGAUACAAGGGAAGAUUUUGAACACAAUGAUGAAGAAAGCGGUAAGCCUACGACAACUAACAGCUUAGCCCACAGUUUGAGAUGUGAAGAAUUUCCAUGGUCUUCUAGUACUGCAUCAUUAGAUCAUGAGUUAUCACUACAAGGAUUAAAUGAACGUAUUAAUUCAUUAGUUACAGCAGGAAAUAAUUUACUUUCAACAGAAUUAUGGGCAUAUGGUGAUAUACAUUUUGGCCAAUUGGGUACUGGCGAUAUUAUUAAUAGACCUAAACCAGUUUUAGUGAGUAAAUUGCAUAACACGGGGGUUAAAAAAAUAUCUUGUGGUUCAUUUCAUGCAUUAGCAUUAACGUUGGAUGGAAGAAUUUAUGGAUGGGGUCAAAAUAGUUAUCGACAAAUUUUUCCAAAUGAAACAAAUGAUCAGAGCUCUCCGCAAUUACUUAAUUAUGUUAUUAAUAAUGAUGAUAAUGUUAAAAAACGGGCCAGAGAUUUUUCAUGUGGUACAAAACAUAGUUGUAUAAAUAUUGAUAAUAAUUUAUUUUUUAUUGGAAAAUCAAGUGAUAAUAAUGAAGUUGUAAAAUUAAAUAUAUCCGAUAAUGAUUUGAAAUAUUUUAUUAAAUUUGUGUCAAGUUCUGGUCCAUUUAGUUGUUGCUCAAUAACAAAUCAAGAAAUAAAUAUUAUUACUAAUGAUUUAACAAAUGAACAAAUUUUAUUAGAAGAAAUGAUUAUUGUUCAUCAAAAUUUAAUCAAGCCAUUUCAAAAAAGAAAUGUUGCAAUACAAGAAUCAAAUGCAUAUGAUACAUUAUGUCGGUGUUAUACAGAAUUAAUGAAUUUUAUUGCAUUAAAUGUGUUAAGUUUAUGUGAUUAUUUUAAUUAUAUUAGUGAAGCAUAUGAAGUUAUAUUAGUUGUUAAUGUUGAUGAAUUUAUAACAGUUUAUAAGUAUUAUUUGAAUGCUGUUUGUGAUAUUACAUCACUAGGUGGUUUUGCGCAUAUUGCAAAAUUAAUGAAUGAUUUACCCACAGUUGUUGUGCGAUUAUUUAAGGAUAAAAUUACUACUAAAGAAGCAUCGAAAAAAAUUUCUAGUGAAGAUAUAAUUACAUAUGCAUUUUAUCAUCUUUUGAAACAAUUUAAUAGAUACAAAGUAAUGCUAUCAAAUUUAAUCAAAAGUAAUGGUACAAAUAUGGGUAUUGAGAGACUUCAAGAAGCGUUAGUGAAGUGGGAAAAAUUUUUUGAUGAUUGUGAAAAACGUCAAAAAGAAGCAGACCAAACAAAAGCAUUUUGGGAAAACUCUGGAAAACUGAUUGAACUUCUUCGAUCUCCUGAACGUCGUUUAAUAAGAGAAUCUCGAUCACAUCCAAUUUUACUUUUUCAUUCCAGUAGAUUUUCAUCGCAUUGGUUUAUAUUACUGACUGAUUGCUUUAUUCACGUAGUUGGAACUUCGCAUACAGUACAUUUAUUACCUACUUUGUGGGUUGAAUCUUUACCAGAUUCUGAAACAUUGGUAAAUGCAAUAUCAAUAACAGCACCAGAGGAUAAUUUUAUUAUUUACACUAACACUGCGACAGAAAGAAAUGAAUGGUUACAAUGUUUGCAAAAUGCUAUUAAACAUAGUCUGAUAAAAGUAGUUGGCCAUACACCACCCAGAGAUCGUACAAGUACUCAUGUAUUCAUUAAACACCCAAUUUAUAAAGAUGCUAAAUAUAGUGGUCGUUGGUCGAAUGGUAAGCCUCACGGUUUCGGCAAAUUAGAGUGGGCCGACGGACGUCUGUAUACAGGACAAUUUUAUAAAGGUGUAAUUCAUGGUUUCGGAAAAAUGGAAGUAUCUACUCAAGGAAUAUACGAAGGAGAUUGGAGAGAUGGUCAGCAAAAUGGAUAUGGAUCCUUCAAAUAUAUUAAUGGUGAUGUUUAUGAAGGAUAUUUUAAAGACGGGCUACCUCAUGGACAUGGAGUAAAAAAAGAGGGACACUUUAUGGCAUCUGUUGCUACAGUUUAUGUCGGGGAAUGGAUGCAUGGUGUCAAAAAUGGAUAUGGUGUCAUGGACAAUAUCUUAAGUGGUGAAAAAUAUUUCGGCUUGUGGAGUAAUAAUAAUAAACAUAUUUGUGGAUUAAUAGUAACUUUGGAUGGAAUUUAUUACGAAGGCUCUUUUGUUCAAGGCGUUAUGACAGGUCAUGGAUUAAUGAUUUUUGAAGAUAAAACACAUUAUGAAGGAGAGUUUAAAUCUGUCGGAGUUUUUGGUGGUAAAGGUGUUUUGACAUUUUGUUCUGGCGACGUUUUAGAAGGACAUAUCCAGGGGGCUUGGAAUGAACCAGUAAAAGUAACAGCAACUUUACAAAUUAAAAAAAAUAGUAUCAACGUUGAAACUAAUUCUAGACCACCAUCCUUUGGUAAAUUAUGUGUGCCACCAGAUCAAAAAUGGCAAGCGAUAUUUCGACAAUGUUAUGAACAACUUGGUAUACCCCAAUCAAACGUUCGUAACGCUAAUUCGUCAGCAGAUAAGUCGAUGGAAUUCCAAAGAUUAUGGCAAAAUGUUGCUGUCAUUAUUAAUAAGUCACAUGAAAAAGAUAGAUCUUCAUUGAAAAAUAUAGAAAAAAGAACUAACAAUGAUUUACUUAAUAAAAUUCCACAGUUUGGUAAAGAUAAAAUAACAUUGAAGGAGUUCAACGAAAUUCAUAAUUAUUUGAUCAAUGCAUUUGAAAGCCGUCAUCAUCCUCUUGGUAAACUGUUGAUUGAAAUUUCAUCGGUGUAUACAGCGAGUUAUGGAGGUGUAAGAGUUCAUCCAUUAUUAUUAAGUCACGCUGUGUCAGAACUUCGUAGUAUAACUAUGAGAGUUUAUGAGAUAGUUACAUUAUUUUUUCCCGCACUACCAAAAGAUGAUAAAGGAUGUGUUUUAGAGUCUGAUGAUCAAAGUGAGAGUAAUAAGCGCUACGGGAAUACUGCAUCCAAUUUUGCUUCCUCGGGUGCAUUCAGCGCUGUUUGUACUUUAUGCACUACACAAUAAAAAAGACGACGAUGCAUAUUGGGAGCGAUUGAAAAAGUGGAAUAAACAACCUAUCAUAUCUCUGAUGGCAUUCUUAGAUGUUGAUCAAAAAUUUUGGAGUAAAUCUAAUAUUACAUUAGACAUAAAUAAUGGCGAAACACUUUUUAUUGAGGCAAUUGAAACUUUACAACAACUGAAAACGACUUUUUCACCGUUAGAGAAACUUUUAGUUAUCCGUAAUAC
rnacentral:misc_RNA from 1 species